GACGAACGUUGGCGGCGUGCUUACACAUGCAAGUCGAACGGAAAGGCCCUGCUUUUGUGGGGUGCUCGAGUGGCGAACGGGUGAGUAACACGUGAGUAACCUGCCCUUGACUUUGGGAUAACUUCAGGAAACUGGGGCUAAUACCGGAUAGGAGCUCCUGCUGCAUGGUGGGGGUUGGAAAGUUUCGGCGGUUGGGGAUGGACUCGCGGCUUAUCAGCUUGUUGGUGGGGUAGUGGCUUACCAAGGCUUUGACGGGUAGCCGGCCUGAGAGGGUGACCGGCCACAUUGGGACUGAGAUACGGCCCAGACUCCUACGGGAGGCAGCAGUGGGGAAUAUUGCACAAUGGGCGGAAGCCUGAUGCAGCAACGCCGCGUGCGGGAUGACGGCCUUCGGGUUGUAAACCGCUUUCGCCUGUGACGAAGCGUGAGUGACGGUAAUGGGUAAAGAAGCACCGGCUAACUACGUGCCAGCAGCCGCGGUGAUACGUAGGGUGCGAGCGUUGUCCGGAUUUAUUGGGCGUAAAGGGCUCGUAGGUGGUUGAUCGCGUCGGAAGUGUAAUCUUGGGGCUUAACCCUGAGCGUGCUUUCGAUACGGGUUGACUUGAGGAAGGUAGGGGAGAAUGGAAUUCCUGGUGGAGCGGUGGAAUGCGCAGAUAUCAGGAGGAACACCAGUGGCGAAGGCGGUUCUCUGGGCCUUUCCUGACGCUGAGGAGCGAAAGCGUGGGGAGCGAACAGGCUUAGAUACCCUGGUAGUCCACGCUGUAAACGGUGGGUACUAGGUGUGGGGUCCAUUCCACGGGUUCCGUGCCGUAGCUAACGCUUUAAGUACCCCGCCUGGGGAGUACGGCCGCAAGGCUAAAACUCAAAGGAAUUGACGGGGCCCCGCACAAGCGGCGGAGCAUGCGGAUUAAUUCGAUGCAACGCGUAGAACCUUACCUGGGUUUGACAUGGAUCGGGAGUGCUCAGAGAUGGGUGUGCCUCUUUUGGGGUCGGUUCACAGGUGGUGCAUGGCUGUCGUCAGCUCGUGUCGUGAGAUGUUGGGUUAAGUCCCGCAACGAGCGCAACCCUUGUUCACUGUUGCCAGCACGUUAUGGUGGGGACUCAGUGGAGACCGCCGGGGUCAACUCGGAGGAAGGUGGGGAUGACGUCAAGUCAUCAUGCCCCUUAUGUCCAGGGCUUCACGCAUGCUACAAUGGCUGGUACAGAGAGUGGCGAGCCUGUGAGGGUGAGCGAAUCUCGGAAAGCCGGUCUCAGUUCGGAUUGGGGUCUGCAACUCGACCUCAUGAAGUCGGAGUCGCUAGUAAUCGCAGAUCAGCAACGCUGCGGUGAAUACGUUCCCGGGGCU
rnacentral:rRNA from 1 species